rnacentral:rRNA from 1 species
UAACCUGCCCAAGAGAUCGGGAUAACACCUGGAAACAGAUGCUAAUACCGGAUAACAACAGAUGAUGCCUAUCAACUGUUUAAAAGAUGGUUCUGCUAUCACUCUUGGAUGGACCUGCGGUGCAUUAGCUAGUUGGUAGGGUAACGGCCUACCAAGGCGAUGAUGCAUAGCCGAGUUGAGAGACUGAUCGGCCACAUUGGGACUGAGACACGGCCCAAACUCCUACGGGAGGCAGCAGAAAAGU